rnacentral:lncRNA from 13 species
UGGUAGACUUUAGCCUGGUUUGUACUGAUAGUGCAGUCUGGUAGACUAGCCUGGUUUGUACUGAUAGUGCAGUCUGGUAGACUAGCCCGGUUUGGGCUGAUAACUGAAAAACACAGUCUGGUAGACUUUAGCUUGGUUUGGGCUGAUAGCUGAAAAACACAGUCUGGUAGACUUUAGCCUGGUUUGGGCUGAUAGCUGAAAAACACAGUCUGGUAGACUUUAGCCUGGUUUGUACUGAUAGUGCAGUCUGGUAGACUAGCCUGGUUUGUACUGAUAAGAUCACAGCUGUGGAGUGUUAGAGACGGAGAGGAGAACCAGGAAACUGUCUCUAUUUACCUCUUUUCACUGACUGACACUGUUCUCUCUCUCUCUCAAUUCAAUGGGUUUUAUUGGCAUGCCAAACAUACAUGUUUAUCCAAAACAAGUUAAAUAGAUCAUUUGUUGUUUGUUUACACUCACGAGUUCCAAAGGAAUAGAGACAUUUUAAAUGGUGUGUGUG